UCAGGAUGAACGCUGGCGGUCUGCUUAACACAUGCAAGUCGAACGGGAGUAGCAAUACUCCAGUGGCGGACGGGUGAGUAACGCGUGAGAAUCUGCCUUUAGGACCGGGACAACCACUGGAAACGGUGGCUAAUACCGGAUGUGCCUUACUGUGAAAGGGGAAACCCGCCUGAAGAUGAGCUCGCGUCUGAUUAGCUAGUUGGUGAGGUAAGAGCUCACCAAGGCGACGAUCAGUAGCUGGUCUGAGAGGAUGACCAGCCACACUGGGACUGAGACACGGCCCAGACUCCUACGGGAGGCAGCAGUGGGGAAUUUUCCGCAAUGGGCGAAAGCCUGACGGAGCAAGACCGCGUGAGGGAGGAAGGCCCUUGGGUUGUAAACCUCUUUUGUCAGGGAAGAAGAAAGUGACGGUACCUGACGAAUCAGCCUCGGCUAACUCCGUGCCAGCAGCCGCGGUAAUACGGAGGAGGCAAGCGUUAUCCGGAAUUAUUGGGCGUAAAGCGUCCGCAGGUGGCUAUUCAAGUCUGCUGUCAAAGCACAGGGCUUAACCCUGUUAAGGCGGUGGAAACUGAAUGGCUAGAGAGAGGUAGAGGUAGAGGGAAU
rnacentral:rRNA from 1 species